rnacentral:lncRNA from 1 species
GGCAGCCCCUCCUCACAGCAUGAGAGGGAGUUGGGAGGGGCGGCACCCCAAAAAGAAGGCGUGGGCGGAGCCUGGGCAGAUGGAACCCUAGCUGUAAUAUAAAGAAGCAUGAAGAACCUCGUGUGAAAUGAAACCUUGUUGGACACAUCAGUGCUCCAGCCUAGCCGCUCUGGGAGACGCGAUGAGAUGGUCAGGAGCUCGCAGCCCCACAGAACCAUCGUGAAGGUGACAGCCGCAGGUGGACAGGAAUGCGGAGCUCUGAGCCAGGACGCCACACCCCAACAGCGACACUGUCCAGAACGAUGAGGACGCUGCGCACCUGGUGGGAGGGGCUGAGCCCGGACGCUCACCCGAGGCUGUCUAACAUCCACCGAGUCUGCGCACGGCCUUCUCUCCUGUCGAUGAGAACUGGGCUGGCACCGGGGACCCAAAUACGAGAAGGGCACCUCUCAGGGGGACACCGACACCGGGAUGCUCCCUCCACAGCCUGCCCCAGGAGAUGACUAGAGCGAUCAGGCAGCCUCACUGAGAAGACGCCUCUGAAUGACGAUGUGAAAGCAGUGGGUGUGAAGGCAGUGAGCCUACCUGGAGGAAGAGCAUGCCGGGCACGGGAACAGCCAGUGCAAAGGCCCUGAGGCAAGCACUUGCCUGAAGAGUUUGAAGACAAGCACGGAGGCCUGAGCACAGCAGGUGAGAUGAGGGCUGCAGUGCUGGGGGUGGGGGGCUGGAGGGUAGACCACGUUGGGCCCUCAGGCCACCACACAGACUGUGGCUUCUACUCAGCAAGAGAUGGAGCCAUCGCAGGGUUUUGAGCUGAAUGGUGACAUGACCUGACUGACAUUGUAACAGGAUCACUCUGGCCGCUGUGCAAGAAGAGGCUGGGGGUGGGGAGUGGCAGAGGUGAGCAGAGGGGCAGAACAGGGUUAGGGGCUGUGGCAAGAGAUGACCGCGUCCUGGACGAGGCUGGGCACGUGGACGUGGGGAGAAGAUUCUAGGCGCAUUUUGAAAGUGCAGCCGAUGGGUUUCCUGACAGAGCAGCGGUUGGCGAGCGGAGGAGCUGAGCCGAGGAUGUCGCCAGGGUUCCGACCUGAGCAGCCACCGACUGGAGAGGGAAGGCCGGGGGUCCUGCUGCUCCCUGAAAGUCCGGGGAGUCAGUGAAGGCGGAGAGUCCAGCCUGGACCCGCUAAGGUGACAAGUUCAAAUUCCUCUUCGUCCGCAGAACAGCUGCCUGAUUGAUAUUUCUGUAAAAAGCAGAUAAAUGAAUGAGGAAACAGGCAAAAAUGCUCGUUGGCCAAGGCGUGAAGUCCCAGCUCCUAGCAUGGGGGGAAAGGUCGUUAAUAAAACCCACCCAAAC